rnacentral:tRNA from 1 species
GCCUUAGUGGUACAACAGUUAAGCGCUCAGCUGCAAACUGUAAGGCUGGUGGUUCAAAUCCACCCAGUGGCU